rnacentral:tRNA from 1 species
GGGGUUAUAGCUCAGCUGGGAGAGCGCUUGAAUGGCAUUCAAGAGGUCAGGGGUUCGAAUCCCCUUAACUCCACCA